rnacentral:lncRNA from 1 species
AAUUGUUUUCAGAAUAAUGUUUUUGUUGUAUUGACAGAGCUGAUAAAUCAUUGAAGAAUUUUACUUUUAGUGAAGUAAUUCGAGUGUUGUCCAGGUGCCGACAAAAUAACAUUUUUGUGACGAAUUUCUGAAUAAAAUCUGUCAUAUUCAUCAAUACAGAUAUAUUCACAUUGAAAACAGAAGAGCAAUGGAAGUGUAAUAAAUCUGAUAAUUGUUUGUAAUAAUGUACAUUAUAACUCAUAUUUGACUUAAGAGAGGCAAAAGAUACCGCAAAGAAAUCCAAACUCAUAGGUCUAAAAUAAACCGACAACGCCAUGGCAAAACAAGGAAAAAAACAACAGACAAACAACAGUAUUUAAAAUUCAACAUAGAAAACGAAAGACGGAACAAC